rnacentral:rRNA from 1 species
AUUGAACGCUGGCGGCAGGCCUAACACAUGCAAGUCGAACGGUAACAUUUCUAGCUUGCUAGAAGAUGACGAGUGGCGGACGGGUGAGUAAUGCUUGGGAACUUGCCUUUGCGAGGGGGAUAACAGUUGGAAACGACUGCUAAUACCGCAUAAUGUCUUCGGACCAAACGGGGCUUCGGCUCCGGCGCAAAGAGAGGCCCAAGUGAGAUUAGCUAGUUGGUAAGGUAACGGCUUACCAAGGCGACGAUCUCUAGCUGUUCUGAGAGGAAGAUCAGCCACACUGGGACUGAGACACGGCCCAGACUCCUACGGGAGGCAGCAGUGGGGAAUAUUGCACAAUGGGGGAAACCCUGAUGCAGCCAUGCCGCGUGUGUGAAGAAGGCCUUCGGGUUGUAAAGCACUUUCAGUUGUGAGGAAAAGUUAGUAGUUAAUACCUGCUAGCCGUGACGUUAACAACAGAAGAAGCACCGGCUAACUCCGUGCCAGCAGCCGCGGUAAUACGGAGGGUGCGAGCGUUAAUCGGAAUUACUGGGCGUAAAGCACACGCAGGCGGUUUGUUAAGCUAGAUGUGAAAGCCCCGGGCUCAACCUGGGAUGGUCAUUUAGAACUGGCAGACUAGAGUCUUGGAGAGGGGAGUGGAAUUCCAGGUGUAGCGGUGAAAUGCGUAGAUAUCUGGAGGAACAUCAGUGGCGAAGGCGACUCCCUGGCCAAAGACUGACGCUCAUGUGCGAAAGUGUGGGUAGCGAACAGGAUUAGAUACCCUGGUAGUCCACACCGUAAACGCUGUCUACUAGCUGUGUGUGUCUUUAAGACGUGCGUAGCGAAGCUAACGCGCUAAGUAGACCGCCUGGGGAGUACGGCCGCAAGGUUAAAACUCAAAUGAAUUGACGG